CCGUGCUAGACGGGGAGCUAGCGGUGCCCUGUACCCGCAAUCCGCUACAGCGGGGUUGAAUCCCUCCCGUAGGCCUGACCCAUGCGCCUCUGGCCCCAACGGGCUGUGUAGAUAGCCGGGUCCCUCGCGACGGAGGACUGUGAACCCCGCCAGGUCCGGAAGGAAGCAACGGUAAGCAGGACCCUUCGGGUGCCGAGGGAGCGCCUGGCUGGAGCCGUCCUUGCGGUCAUGCUCAAAGGUUUUCGUCGAAGAGAGGUGCACGG
rnacentral:SRP_RNA from 1 species